rnacentral:lncRNA from 1 species
GUGUAUGCUUAAUGUUUAGUAAUUUGUCGAUGAAUAUAUAUAUUUGGUUGAAGUUUAUUGGAUAAUUAGUUAUUAACUAACGAUUUGGUGAAUUAUUGAUUUGAGGUAUUUGUGUUAAAAGCCUAGGAUUUGUAAACUAUGAUUCUUAGUUGAAUUUUGGUUGUUGGAUUUGAAUAUUGUAUGAGUUUAAUUGUUGAUUUGAAGUAGAUUUAUUGUGGUGAUUGUUAUGAUGAUGAGGAAGGGUAUGUUGAAUUGAAAAGAAAGCAGGUUUGGACCCGAAAAGGGUGGCAAAGUCCGAGUUUUAGAGGAGAUGCUGCCGAAAUCUUAUAAAAAAUUAGAGAUUUUAUUUAGAUGAUUAUUUAAAAGAGAUUUAGAUUUAAAUGUUAUAUAGUUUGAUUUUGAGUUAUUAAGAAAGUGAGUAUGUUUUAAGUUUGAAGUUUGAUUCUUAGAAAAGAAAGAAUUAUGUUUUGAAUUGAAACUAUUGAUGAAUGGAAUGGGAGGUGAUAUAAUGAAGGAUAAGGAUUGAAUAUGUUUAAUAUAUGAUGAUGAAUGAGAUGCAAUUGAGAAUGAUGUGGAUGUUGAGGAAUUAUAAUUGAAUUAUUUAUAUGGCCUAUGAAUUUGAAUAAUCUGAGAUACGAGAUUCCCUGGAUUAAGUGCCGUGGCUUGCCACCACGUGUACCAGGUUGAAAACUCGAUN